rnacentral:misc_RNA from 1 species
AAGUCGUAACAAGGUUUCCGUAGGUGAACCUGCGGAAGGAUCAUUAACACGUUUCCAAACGUUUAAUACUACCAAACAACUGCGUGAACCUGUCUUCUCCCUACCAUCUUCUAUGCGUCAUUGCAUUAACACUCACUGUGGAUCGAUUGUGCGUAUCUCGGUACGACUUCGGAGUGGCAUUGACUAGCAGGCCGUUGAGCCAGCACAUAGAGUUUGAUUAGGCUAUUUUUUAUUCCACAGCUAUAUUUACCCCAUUCUUAACCGUCGGCUAGGGCUUCGGCCUCGACGUGCUAUUUGACUAAUGCUAACCUAUGUUGGGCAUUGAGCUUUCGGGCGAUGUGUUCCAGCCUUAGGUUGAGUUAUGUAUAUAACAAAGCACAACUCUUAGCAACGGAUAUCUUGGUUCUC